GAUUCCGUAGUGAAGUUCAUGUUGAGUUGCAAGCUCUUCGAUAUGUGCUAGAGGCACAUCGGGAUC
rnacentral:tRNA from 1 species